UCCAGAGGUCUCAAGCGUUGUUCGGAUUCCUUGGGCGUAAAGGGUGCGUAGGCGGCGCGGUAAGUCGGGUGUGAAAUCUCGGAGCUUAACUCCGAAACUGCAUUCGAUACUGCCGUGCUUGAGGACUGGAGAGGAGACUGGAAUUUACGGUGUAGCGGUGAAAUGCGUAGAUAUCGUAAGGAAGACCAGUGGCGAAGGCGGGUCUCUGGACAGUUCCUGACGCUGAGGCACGAAGGUCAGGGGAGCAAACGGG
rnacentral:rRNA from 1 species